GCCCUCGUAGCCCAACGGCAGAGGCAAGCGCCUUAAAAGCGCUCCCGGUGCGGGUUCGAAUCCCGUCGAGGGCA
rnacentral:tRNA from 2 species